rnacentral:rRNA from 1 species
GACGAACGCUGGCGGCGUGCUUAACACAUGCAAGUCGAACGGAAAGGCCCUGCUUUUGUGGGGUGCUCGAGUGGCGAACGGGUGAGUAACACGUGAGUAACCUGCCCUUGACUUUGGGAUAACUUCAGGAAACUGGGGCUAAUACUGGAUAGGAGCUCCUGCUGCAUGGUGGGGGUUGGAAAGUUUCGGCGGUUGGGGAUGGACUCGCGGCUUAUCAGCUUGUUGGUGGGGUAGUGGCUUACCAAGGCUUUGACGGGUAGCCGGCCUGAGAGGGUGACCGGCCACAUUGGGACUGAGAUACGGCCCAGACUCCUACGGGGGGCAGCAGUGGGGAAUAUUGCACAAUGGGCGGAAGCCUGAUGCAGCAACGCCGCGUGCGGGAUGACGGCCUUCGGGUUGUAAACCGCUUUCGCCUGUGACGAAGCGUGAGUGACGGUAAUGGGUAAAGAAGCACCGGCUAACUACGUG